CUUUGGAUCAGUGGCGAACGGGUGAGUAACACGUGAGCAACCUGCCCCUGACUCUGGGAUAAGCGCUGGAAACGGCGUCUAAUACUGGAUAUGUGACGUGACCGCAUGGUCUGCGUCUGGAAAGAAUUUCGGUUGGGGAUGGGCUCGCGGCCUAUCAGCUUGUUGGUGAGGUAAUGGCUCACCAAGGCGUCGACGGGUAGCCGGCCUGAGAGGGUGACCGGCCACACUGGGACUGAGACACGGCCCAGACUCCUACGGGAGGCAGCAGUGGGGAAUAUUGCACAAUGGGCGCAAGCCUGAUGCAGCAACGCCGCGUGAGGGAUGACGGCCUUCGGGUUGUAAACCUCUUUUAGCAGGGAAGAAGCGAAAGUGACGGUACCUGCAGAAAAAGCGCCGGCUAACUACGUGCCAGCAGCCGCGGUAAUACGUAGGGCGCAAGCGUUAUCCGGAAUUAUUGGGCGUAAAGAGCUCGUAGGCGGUUUGUCGCGUCUGCUGUGAAAUCCGGAGGCUCAACCUCCGGCCUGCAGUGGGUACGGGCAGACUAGAGUGCGGUAGGGGAGAUUGGAAUUCCUGGUGUAGCGGUGGAAUGCGCAGAUAUCAGGAGGAACACCGAUGGCGAAGGCAGAUCUCUGGGCCGUAACUGACGCUGAGGAGCGAAAGGGUGGGGAGCAAACAGGCUUAGAUACCCUGGUAGUCCACCCCGUAAACG
rnacentral:rRNA from 1 species